rnacentral:tRNA from 1 species
GGGGAUUUAGCUCAGUGGUAGAGCGCUUGCCUAGCAAGCACAAAGCCCUGGGUUCGAUCCUCAGCUCCA